rnacentral:rRNA from 1 species
AAAUAUUAAUUCACACCCACCAACGCCAGGGUAUUACAAGCCUUAGCUUAAAACCCAAAGGACUUGACGGUGUCCCAUCCACCUAGAGGAGCCUGUUCCAUAAUCGAUAAUCCCCGCUAUACCUAACCACCCCUUGCCAAUCAGUCUGUAUACCUCCGUCGUAAGCUUACCAUAUGAAUGCUUACAGUAAGUUUAAUGGCCACAAGCACCAAUACGUCAGGUCAAGGUGCAGCUUAUGAGAUGGUGGACAAUGGGCUACAGUUUCUAUAAUAGAACAAACGAAACGCUGCAUGAAACACAGCCACGAAGGCGGAUUUAGUAGUAAAAAGAAAAUAGUGUGUUCUUUUUAACUAGGCCCUGGGACGUGU